UACGAAGGGGGCUAGCGUUGCUCGGAAUCACUGGGCGUAAAGGGUGCGUAGGCGGGUCUUUAAGUCAGGGGUGAAAUCCUGGAGCUCAACUCCAGAACUGCCUUUGAUACUGAGGAUCUUGAGUUCGGGAGAGGUGAGUGGGACUGCGAGUGUAGAGGUGAAAUUCGUAGAUAUUCGCAAGAACACCAGUGGCGAAGGCGGCUCACUGGCCCGAUACUGACGCUGAGGCACGAAAGCGUGGGGAGCAAACAGG
rnacentral:rRNA from 1 species